AUUUGCGCCGAAGGUAUACCGGUAAGGAGUGCUGGAGCGAAUAGAAGUGAGCAUGCAGGCAUGAGUAGCGAUAAUUAAUGUGAGAAUCAUUAACGCCGUAAACCCAAGGUUUCCUACGCGAUGCUCGUCAUCGUAGGGUUAGUCGGGUCCUAAGUCGAGUCCGAAAGGGGUAGACGAUGGCAAAUUGGUUAAUAUUCCAAUACCAACAUUAGUGUGCGAUGGAAGGACGCUUAGGGCUAAGGGGGCUAGCGGAUGGAAGUGCUAGUCUAAGGUCGUAGGAGGUUAUACAGGCAAAUCCGUAUAACAUACUCCGAGAACUGAAAGGCUUUUUGAAGUCUUCGGAUGGAUAGAAGAACCCCUGAUGCCGUCGAGCCAAGAAAAGUUUCUAAGUUUAGCUAAUGUUGCCCGUACCGUAAACCGACACAGGUGGGUGGGAUGAGUAUUCUAAGGCGCGUGGAAGAACUCUCUUUAAGGAACUCUGCAAAAUAGCACCGUAUCUUCGGUAUAAGGUGUGGUUCGCUUCGUAUUAGGAUUUACUCCGAAAGCGAAGAAACUUACAACAAAGAGUCCCUCCCGACUGUUUACCAAAAACACAGCACUCUGCUAACUCGUAAGAGGAUGUAUAGGGUGUGACGCCUGCCCGGUGCUCGAAGGUUAAUUGAUGGGGUUAGCAUUAGCGAAGCUCUUGAUCGAAGCCCGAGUAAACGGCGGCCGUAACUAUAACGGUCCUAAGGUAGCGAAAUUCCUUGUCGGUUAAAUACCGACCUGCAUGAAUGGCGUAACGAGAUGGGAGCUGUCUCAAAGAGGGAUCCAGUGAAAUUGUAGUGGAGGUGAAAAUUCCUCCUACCCGCGGCAAGACGGAAAGACCCCGUGGACCUUUACUACAGCUUGACACUGCUAUUUGGAUAAGAAUGUGCAGGAUAGGUGGGAGGCUUUGAGUAUAUGACGCCAGUUGUAUAUGAGCCAUUGUUGAGAUACCACUCUUUCUUAUUUGGGUAGCUAACCAGCUUGAGUUAUCCUCAAGUGGGACAAUGUCUGGUGGGUAGUUUGACUGGGGCGGUCGCCUCCCAAAUAAUAACGGAGGCUUACAAAGGUUGGCUCAGAACGGUUGGAAAUCGUUCGUAGAGUAUAAAGGUAUAAGCCAGCUUAACUGCAAGACAUACAAGUCAAGCAGAGACGAAAGUCGGUCUUAGUGAUCCGGUGGUUCUGUGUGGAAGGGCCAUCGCUCAAAGGAUAAAAGGUACCCCGGGGAUAACAGGCUGAUCUCCCCCAAGAGCUCACAUCGACGGGGAGGUUUGGCACCUCGAUGUCGGCUCAUCGCAUCCUGGGGCUGGAGCAGGUCCCAAGGGUAUGGCUGUUCGCCAUUUAAAGCGGUACGCGAGCUGGGUUCAGAACGUCGUGAGACAGUUCGGUCCCUAUCUGCCGUGGGCGUAAGAAGAUUGAAGAGAUUUGACCCUAGUACGAGAGGACCGGGUUGAACAAACCACUGGUGUAGCUGUUGUUCUGCCAAGAGCAUCGCAGCGUAGCUAAGUUUGGAAAGGAUAAACGCUGAAAGCAUCUAAGCGUGAAGCCAACUCUAAGAUGAAUCUUCUCUAAGCUCUCUAGAAGACUACUAGUUUGAUAGGCUGGGUGUGUAAUGGAUGAAAGUCCUUUAGCUGACCAGUACUAAUAGAGCGUUUGGCUUAUCUUUAAUAAAGCAU
rnacentral:rRNA from 2 species